AGACCUCUCAUAUAAAGUCCAACCAUUAAUUAAACAGUGUCAAGGCAACCACUAAAACAUGUUCCCAUCUACACACCUUUUAAAUUCCUCCAGGGAUGGUGACUCCACCACUACCCCAAGCAGCACGUUCCAAUGUUUGACAGUCCUUUCCACUGAGACAUUUUUCCUGUUAUCCAACCUAAACCUCCACUGGCACAACUUGAUGCCGUUUCUUCUUGUCCUGUUGCUUGUUACUUGAAAGAAGAGACUGGCCUCUACCUGCCUACUAGCAAGCCCCAUAAAAACACCUUUAAUCCUUAAAGAAUAAUGAGCUUCAGCUUGGGCAAGGUAAAAGAACAUGUGAAUAAUGUAGCAGCUGCUGCAGGCUGACUAUAAGUUAAAAAGCUGGUACUUGCUUACAAAAAUGGAGGCCCAUCUCUUUUUGGAAUCAGUAUAUUGUGAAGUUUUAGAAGCAGUAGAGCACAAUUCAGAUUCCAUUAAGGCUGUGCUUUCCUUCUGGGUUAAAAGACAUUUUUUCAGUGACAAUUUUCAGGUUGGGUACUUGUGAUGCAAGACCUGACGAUGACAGAAAAGACCAUGAUUAUAAUAUGUCCUUCUUAAUAAGAGCUGUCAUGGUUUCUUGAAGGUAAAACUACCUUCUUAGCACCUUCCUAGCAGAGGAAGAUGGUGUGUUUUUUUGUUUCUAGGACGCUUGCAGUAAUUACAGAUAUAGCAAACAUUGCAUCCAAAAUGGGAUUUUACAGCUAAAUGAUGUCACCUUGAAUGCUCUGAAAAACUCUGGUACAACCUUCAAACAGACCUGAGAGGUGAUUUGGGAUUGUUCCCACAUAACAAAGCAUAGUGCAACAGGUAGAUUAUUUUUUUCCCCACCAGUUAGUCUAUUGCCUUCAAUGCAAAAGAAUUUUUUUGCAUCACAUAAUUUGUUGGACCUUAUGGCAGCUGAGAAUACAGUCAGUGUUGAAAGCCCCAAGGUGUAAGUUACACAACUGUUGCAGAGCCCACCAGAGUACUGUAUACUCUAUCUCUGACACUGCCAUGCAGUGACAGAGAUUUGUUAUUCCAAUAUCAGCCCGUAUGGACUCUGUUUCAUUUUGGUAAAAAUAGUGAUCAGAUUAUUAAUGUAUAAAAUCAAGGCCAUGGAGAUAAAUGAAAUGGGUACUUUGGGUUGCUUCAUUGCAUUCUGACAAGGUUCAGCUACAACAAGCUAAAGAUUUUUGCUUGUAAUAGCAUAUUGCAGUCAGUAUGAAGGUGCAUGAACCAUGCUGUUUGUAAAUACAAGUCUUGCAUUCUUUCAUAAGUUUUUUAAAUGGACACAGUGAAAAUCUUGAGAAUCAUAAACAGAAAAUUUUCCAGUUUUUUAAGCAAUGAUGAUUUUUUGAACAGCACACUACCAAAAACUCCCAAUUUACUCUUGGACAUCAGCUGAACAGUAAGUGUUACCAGUUAGAAGAUUUCAUAGAUGAGACCUUAUUUUAAAAUUGCCUUCACUUAGGUCCAUCGUGUGUGGAAUCAUUUGGUACUGGCUUCUGAUGAGCAGGAUGUUGUCUUUAACAGCUCACUGGGAUUUUCAAAUGCAUCAAUACCGAGGUUUGACAAGUGCUUGUGUUCCUUGAGGCAUGGAGAAUAAAAGUAAUUCUGAACAAAAUUCUGUUCUUUAUUUCAGUUUCAAUGAUAACAUGCAAAUCAGAAUCUGUUAACCACUGGCUGUUCCAGAUAUGACAUCAAAGCCAAAAAAGGGAGACUUGAUGUAGUAUGACUCAAAACCAGAAGUAUUUUGGUAAGUCACAUAACAUGCAUUAAGAAGUUGAGGAAAUUAUCAUUUGUGAUAACAGAAAUUUUUUCUCUGAAAAAGUACAUUUUCAAGAAACAUUGCUAAAAAGCACAAUAGACUGUUCACAUUUCGGAAAGUCUUUCUUCCUUCAAAGACCUAGAAGACCAAACCCUCACACAAGGUAGGCUUAGAACAUCCUGCCACAGCCAAAGCUUGUGGAAAACUCCACAAUGCCUCAGCGUGGCAUACUGGUUUUGGUCAAGUAUAAUGCAGUGCUCUUCCUAUCUAUGCAACUUCCACCUUCUUUCAGAGUUAUUAAUUCACCUGUUUCAGUUAGAACAUUUUUCUUGGUAAGCCUGCAUUACCUCAGCACAUCAAGAGGAAUAUUCUCAUGUUCAAACAACAUUGAAGAAUAUUAUCUGCUUGAGAAGUUUUGCAUUGCUUUCCAAAAUAUGUAUUGACCAAAGCAGAAUUUAAAUAAAAUAAGUCCCCCAAAAAUAUAUAUAUUACUCCUGUGUAUUCACUAUGUAAAUACAGUUUAUGAGGUUUUAAUCUCUUUCUUGAACCCUUGAAAGCUUGGUUUUUAAGAUGGUAACCUUAUGGCUGCAAUACUAUUAGUUCUUAAAUGUACUGAUGCUAUCAGUCUACAUGCAUGGUUCUUUUAUACCUAGAGGACUCCUUAGUGAUGCUAAUACAGCUAACAAUAUUGCUUGACUUUAUUAAAGCCUACUAAUGUGUUUACUUGGGGUUGAGAAGUCACACAUUUUCCCUUCCCACCAGUAGCAGUCAGCUCUGAUAUGUAUUUUUGCUUUCUUACAUUAACACACAUGUGUUACAGAGUAUCUGUGCAGGUGAUUAAAAAAAAAAAAAGGCUGCAUAGCUCUUUGGUGUCACUUGAAAGUAAAUACAGAUGUGUACCCUACUCAUGUGAGGCUCCAUAUGAACACAUAGAUAUCGCCUAAAGGUAAAUUUCAUAUGCAUCUAAAAGACAAUUUCUGGAGAGAAAAUUAUCUUACAUUGUCAUGGACUCCUGUCCCAUUUUUAUUAAUGGCCCAGAUUUGAGAAACAACUGAAACAGAAGGUGUAUCCUUACUGUGAUACCUGGGUGUGAGACAGGACACGCCCUUCUUUGAAGGAGUAACUUGCAUAAAUUCUUAUUUUUCCACUCAUAAAACUCUUGUAUAUACCUCCCCAUCCCCAUUUUUCUCCCCAGAGUUUCUCAUCUUCCAUUCAAGAACUGCUGCUCUGUAUCCCAUUUUGGCCCAAGUAAUAAGUAGAUAGUAAUGACAUUCCCUUAACCAUUGUAUCUCGCUGCUGACAUCUGCAUAAGGAACAGAUGUUGUCCAGUGCUGCACCACUGUCAAGGCAUGGAAGAGUCUUCCUUCACUUUCUGUCCUUCCUGAUGUUGUUCCAGUGAAACUGUUCCAAUUCUAGCUGACAUUACAUGUCCUCUGGACUGGAAUGCACAUGCUGUUUCCUGCAUGUAUGUGUUUGAUCUGUUUAAUUAGAGCCAUGGAAGACAUCUUCUGCACCUCAAAAUAAUAUUUCUUGGCACUACACCUGGGGAAACAGGCAUCCACUGUAAUCUGGGAUAUGACAAGAAUAUCAGAGGCCAGCUGAAGGAGGGAUUCCCAAAGUCUUGGUGUAUUUCUCAUGGUACUUGCAUGAGAAAAAAGAAUCUGCAAAUCCUCCAAAUGCGUUUGUCUUCUGCAAGUGCAGAGCCUGGGACAGAAUUGGAAACAGCUGUAACCCCUGCCUCGAAGAGAAACAGAAAGAAUGACUUACUGAGGAACCAAGUUAAAAAUGAAAGAAGUGAAGAUUGGUCAUCUCUGCAGAGGAAAUUACAAGGUAUGCAUAGUAAUCACACUGGAGAUUCAUUUCUUGAUGGUGCUUAGGUCUUCAUGGUACAUUACCUGUGGCAAUAAAGUUUGAAAACAGUCCUCAGAAACCUUGAGAAAGAUGUUUGGAAAAGAACUUUUUUCUUCUGUGUGAUUGCCACAGUAAGCAAAGCAAAUAUUUUUAUGGUUAUAAAUAUCUUUGAGAUGCACCUUUAAGCUCAUUGCUGUGCUGAAUUGUAGCUGUGUUUCUGCAAGUAAAUGGCAAUCACAUUCAAUGAAUUGUUUUUUUGGCUGAGGCCAGUAAAAAUAACCCUUCUCCCAACACUAAACUGAAAUCCCUCCAGAUACUGUCAAUGGUCAUUCUUGAGACUUAAAGUGCUUGUUUCAUGGGCACAUUUAAAUCACUGUAUGCUUGGUUCAGCAGUGUUAGCAUUUUCUCUUUCUCAUUUAUUACUAUCACAAGGAGAUGCACUUAGUACCUGUUUUGCACUGCAUUUGAAGAAUGUGUCCUUUUACAUUUGUCAUCCUGAAAAUUUGUAAUUUAAGGGAUGCAAAAUCAGCACUACUAACAACUCCUGCCUCUCAAAUAUUUUCAGUAAAGUGAAUGCUUCAUAUUUAUCCAGUGACUGCUCAGAGACCAACACAAGGCUAUAUGUCACUUAAGUCCUGAGGUUAAAUGUUGCUUCAGUGAUGCAUAAAAUUUGUAUUGACCAUCUGCCCAGCAUUGAGUUGAACCAUUAAUGAAUAAGCCUCACAGUGUGACUGUGAGAUAGGGAAUUAUGAUCUCCAUUUAACAAGUGGUAAAACUGAGCCCCAAAGAGCUUAGGUAACCACUUCAAGUUCUACAGGAAGUGUGUAAUAGAACCAGUAAGGAAGCCUAGCUCACCUGAGCUGCCAUCCUUCCUAUCUGGACACCCCUGCACCUGGUAUCCUUUUCACCAUGUUCUGUUAUCAACAGCUAUACACUCUUUAUGCACAGCUCCUACCAUCAAAUUCUCUUGCAAAGAAGCUUAAAGCACAGCUGAUGUGACCUGUGAAUCCUUCUCGUCCAUAAAGAACAACAUGAGACACAAGGCACAAAGGCAGCACAAACAGCACCAGAUGGCCUUCGUAACUGGAGCAAGUCAGCACAAAGUGACAACAGGGAGAGCUGUUGUUGUGGCCUCCCUUUCUAUUUUUUUGCAUAAUGUUGAGAGGAAGACUAUGCAGAUCUUUCUGUAGUACAGAGAGGAGCUGGUGGUAGAGGGCAAUCAGUGCUUUGCCUUUUGUAAUCUUGCUCAACAUCUCUUUGAUUUCUUUAGUAAAUGUCAGGUCACAUGCUUGCAUUCUAAAGCUGAAGUAUAAAUCAUCUUCUCAAGUGACAGAAACUGUCAUUUUUCCUUGCAAAGUAUUUUUCUAACUAUGUCUUAUGUAACGGUUACAGUUGUUGACAUUUUUCUUAAAAGCCCUGUUGGUUUGACACUCAGGAUUCAGUAUAAAGCUACAGACUUGGAUAGAGAAUUCUUCUGCCUUUGCUUGUAUCUCUUUCCCAUGAGCUGAAGAAAGAAAUAUUAUGCAACUCUGAGUCAUGCUGUAGAAAGGUGUUGUAUUUUUAAUAUCAUUAGAAUUUUAAAAGAAGGAAAAAGAUAAACCUUACCAUAGGUGAAACCAAGAGUUAAUACACUUCAAUUAUAGAAAGUGGCUAUUAAAUUUUGAUGGGAUGCCAUGACUGAUACUUCAAAUAAAACGUUGAUGUGGCGAAGUGGGGAGUGUCGAUAAUGAGUUGAAUACUAGAGAAAGGCUGUUGAUUUUUAUGGAAAAUAUAUAUAUAAAAAAUACAUGAUCCUCAACCAAAGACAUUCUUGUGGAAGUAUUCAUAGGAAAAAAAUCGAAGUAUAGAUUUCUUAUGUCUGUCUUGGCUUGUGUCUACAAGAAUGCAGUAUCUUGGCAUAGAUAUAGGCUGAUAGUACUUGCCCACAUGAGAUGUUUUACUGUGCCCAGCUUAAGGAUGGUAUUGAUUCCUGCCCAGCUUAAGGGUGAUACUCUAGCAUUAUUAAUCUGCUUUCCCUCUGCUCUUUCAUGCCUGCAGAAAAAACUAUUGAUACGUCUUCCUGACAGGUCUUUCUGAGAAGGAACAGCUGCAGAAUGUGGAAUCAGUUGUGUGAAAUUCCUGUUGGCAAGGCCUUUGACCUUCAACUUCUGCUGGAUCCAGCUGAGUGAUAAAAAGAGAGAACUUUUGCAGGUCCACAUAUUAGUGAUGCUGAAAGCCAGGGCAGGUGGCUUCCAUCCCCUGUCCCCCUGCAGUGUGACCAACUGCCCCUGGGGUGAGAUUUGCUGAGUGACACAACUCUCCUUGAUCCAUGUGGGAAUGAUGGAUGCAGCAUUUAUUGUGUUCUUUAAUUAACUAGCAAAAGGUUGUCACCAAGCAAUCCAGCUGUCUGGGAAUACAGCCUGUGCUUCCUGUGAUCAGAGUGUGACUGUCCUUUGGGGUGAGGUAGUAGGUUGUAUAGUUUUAGGGCUAUGCCCUGCCUGUCAGAUAACUAUACAAUCUACUGUCUUUCCUGAAGUGGCUGUGAUGUCAGCGCUGGAUGUCUCCGAAAGACAAUGCAGAUAUUUUUCAACUGUACCAUUCUCUGGCUCUGUCUACAUGUUUGCUUCUUGUACACAAAUGUCCUUGGAUGUUUAGAUUCUUUUAUUUCCCAGUCAGGCUCAAAAGCCAUUUCCUUCUGGCAUUUUCAGAGAGCAGGUGGGGUGUGAGUGCCAGGACACAGAGGUACCACCCAGUCUGCAGUGGAUUUGCUCACACACAGCUGCCAGGGACUGCCAUGGGAGUGGCCACUUGGAAAUAGCUGAUUCUUUUCCCCCUUGUUUUCUGGAAUUUGUGUUCAUAUUAAACAUAAAAUGGUACUUUUGAUUCAGCAGCUGUUUAAAUCCACUUGGUGUAGGCUGUUUGAGAAACUACAAAGGGAUAAGCUGGACAAAGCCCUAAGAGGAUGGCUUCCAGUCAGUCGUGUUCUGCUCUGGAACUGGUAAAUUCCUGAACUCUAAGUAAAAGGUCUCUUCAGUUAGUUUUGGACGCUGAUUUAACUCACUUUUUUUACAUAUUGCUGGUUUGAGAGGACAGUGUUUGCCACUGCAGUUCUCCUGUCUCUGGAGUCCCUCCACCAGUUCUGUCUGACUCCCAGGUAGAGCUGUGGGGAAGGGCUGAGACAUCACAUGUGGCCUUUCUAAGGCUAAGAAAUGCAUGGGCUGGAGAGCAAUAAGGUAAUUUACUUAUAAAUGGUGAAAUGUUUCCUUCAGAAGAUGCACGUGAUGCUCUAACAGGAUGAGGUAGUAGGUUGUGUGGUUUCAGGGUAGUGAUUUUGCCCCAGUCAGGAGAUAACUAUACAACCUACUGCCUUCCCUGAUAGGCAGCAUAACAUCAGUGUCUUAAUUCACAGAGAAACAAGAGCUAAAGUACACUCCUGAUAUGCUUCUGAGACGAGCAAAGUAAGUCUAGAUACAAUUGUUGCUGUCCUGUCCCUAAUAGCUCUAAAUUUAGAUUUUAAGUGUAGAUUUUUGGUAACUGCCUGCAAAAUAAUUACCCUUUUUUAAGUCUUUAUCAUGAAAAAUUGAAUUAAAGAAGUUUUAUUUAUUUCAAAGUUUGCCUGCUCUCGAUCUGUUUCAUUUUUGGUUCAUUUGAGUGGGAUGAAGUUAGUGGGGGAAGUCAUGCCAAAAAUGCUGCGAAAUUGCAAUCAGGAAGUUUGUAUUUCCUUGACAUCUGAGUGCAGCAAAUUUUACUGACAGUGCCCAGUUUUAGUUCUACCUUACCUCUCCCUCAGCAAUCUUGCAGUGUUUUACAGAUAGUACUAAGUUAAGUCACACAACAUUCUUCAGCAGGUAAGGUUUACAUAGCAAGGAAAAAGCUGUAACUAUGAAAAUCAAGAAUGAGAAUUUAAAAACCAAAACCAGACAUCUAUUUAGUCCCUCAGUUUCUCAUAACAAUCUCAUUUAAUGAUGUUUAGAGCCCCCAAAAGAAUUAUCUGCUAUCUAAAAAGCACAAAUUGCAUCUGAAAAACUAUGGACAAAAAAUGUUUGGUCAUUAAAAAUAUUUUGAGAAUAUGAACUUUAGAGUCCUACAAAAAAAAUCUGUGGAAGAAAGGGAAUAUAACAACAAGAUGCUGAGUUUGUUUGUAGACAUAGAAAUAGUUUUCCCACGUGCAAAAUA